GUGUUCCCUUUCACAGCACAUAUACGGAAUUGGAAUGAUACGGAGAUUAGCGUGGGUCCUGCACAAGGAUGACACAUAGUUCAAGAAGCAUUCCAUAUCAUA